UACGGAGGGUGCGAACGUUGCUCGGAAUUAUUGGGCGUAAAGCGCGUGUAGGCGGUUGACUAAGUCCCGUGUGAAAUCCCUCGGCUUAACCAAGGAAUUGCGCUGGAAACUGGUCAACUAGAGUACGGGAGAGGGUAGCGGAAUUCCCGGUGUAGAGGUGAAAUUCGUAGAUAUCGGGAGGAACACCAGUGGCGAAGGCGGCUACCUGGACCGAUACUGACGCUGAGACGCGAAAGCGUGGGGAGCAAACAGG
rnacentral:rRNA from 1 species